rnacentral:rRNA from 1 species
GACGAACGCUGGCGGCGUGCCUAAUACAUGCAAGUCGAGCGCAGGAAGCCGUUCUGAACCCUUCGGGGGGACGACGGUGGAAUGAGCGGCGGACGGGUGAGUAACACGUAAAGAACCUGCCCAUAGGUCUGGGAUAACCACGAGAAAUCGGGGCUAAUACCGGAUGUGUCAUCGGACCGCAUGGUCCGUUGAUGAAAGGCGCUUCGGCGUCGCCCAUGGAUGGCUUUGCGGUGCAUUAGCUAGUUGGUGGGGUAACGGCCCACCAAGGCGACGAUGCAUAGCCGACCUGAGAGGGUGAUCGGCCACACUGGGACUGAGACACGGCCCAGACUCCUACGGGAGGCAGCAGUAGGGAAUCUUCCACAAUGGACGAAAGUCUGAUGGAGCAACGCCGCGUGAACGAUGAAGGCUUUCGGGUCGUAAAGUUCUGUUGUAAGGGGAGAACAAGUGCCGCAGGCAAUGGCGGCACCUUGACGGUAC